UAUACGAAGAAGAAAAAAAAGAUCGUCUUGAUUAUACAAUUGUUUUUGAAAAUAAAUUUAAUUAACACGCUCGACUAACGAAAAUUGUUCCAAGCAACUAAAUCAGUUUCGCUACGCCCUGGAUCAGUAAUAUAUAUGUCAGUAAGAUAUAUCGUCUGUCAUAGUCACUACGAGGUUGCACUAUGAAGUUAACACUAUUUUUGAUUUGCUUGCUUUUCGCAAUCGAUUUUAGUUUCGGAGAUGGAGAUGAAAUGCAGCAAGCUCUUGGAGGUAUUUGUGGUGGUGCGAGUAAAAAUGGUGUCUGUUUAAAGGAGAAUACUUUCAACUACAAUGUCAGCACUAGGAAAUGCGAAAAAGUGGAACGAGAUGGGGGAGCUUGUGGGUUCUUUAAGUUUAAGAAGAGAUGCGAAAUAGUAUGUAACAGUGUGAAAAAGGAAUUAGUUCACAAACCAAGCCGCUUGCCUCCACCGAUCUCGAAAUAAAUGCAUAUUGCUGAUAUCUAAACAUGAAA